UAUCUAUACAUAUAAUAAAAUCGUAGAAAAGUGCUGUCUGUACAUUGAAAAUAAAAAUAAAAAAAAUAGCAGGGGUUAUUGUUAUGUCGAUGUCGAACCCAAAAAUGUAAUUAACUUUUUUUUUGUCUGUUUGUCUGUUUGUCUGUUUGUCUGUUUGUCUGUUUGUCUGUUUGUCUGUUCGUCUGUGCGCGCUAAUCUCAGAAACGGCUGAUCCGAGUUGGAUGCGGUUUUCACGAAUAUAUUGUGGGAUGCUUAAAUUUACAUUUAGUGUUUGUUUCAUGUCAAUCGGUUCAUAAAUAAAAAAGUUAUGUCAAAUUAAAGAAUCACGUCGAACAUUCUAUGCUUAUACCAUUAAUCUCCGCAACUAUUUGACGGAUUUGGUUGAAAUUUGGUACAGAUAUAGUUUAGAACCUUAGAAAGGACAUAGAUAUAUUUUUAUUUCAAAAAUCAAAAAAUAAAAAUAAGAAAUAAAUUAUUUAUAAAUAAUUCUAUGUCGAUCGUUACACGACUUCGGUUCAUGUUAUUGUUUUAAUUAAUCGAAAAAAAGUAAAUAAAUAGUAAAAAGGUAUGAAAAAAAUAAUAUCAAUAUAAUUAAACUUUUAGUACAAAGAAAAUGCCCGAACGGAGUAUAAAUAAAUAAUCCAAGUUGUCUUUAUCCUCGAUAGAUGGCGUUGGGAUCGAAAUAGAUCGCGCUAUGGUUUCGUUACAUUCAUUUGGUUGGGUAUCGGCCGAGCGCUUCGGUACUAUCGUAGAAAAAGUGUAUUAUUAGUCGUAUGAUUAUUUGUCUGUAGUGGUCCUGCUGUUUCGUAUAUUCUAAAUUGGUUUCGUUGUAUUUGUCAAUUAAUAAGUUUAUUUGUUGGGUUUUCCUGGUUUUUUGGUUAAACUAUUUAACGUAGGUUUAGUUUGAUAUCGAUUAUUAGUAGAUACUGUAGUUAGUUUUUUUAAUAAAAUUGUAAGUCUAAUUUAUUAAUUAAUUAGAUAGAUUAGAUUUAAGUCGUUUCUUUUAAAUUAUUUAGUUUAAGCUUGGUUAUUAUAGCAUAGAGGAUAGGUUGUAAUAUAAUUUAUUUUUUAAUUGUUAUAAAUUCGUAAUUCGUAGCUUUCUUUAGUUUUAAGUUAGUUUUCAUCUUAAGUUCGAAAAGAUUAUAAUAUUUCUUUAGUUUAGGUCCGUUUUUAAACUAUUUUUUCAAUGCCCUAAGCUCAUUAUGUUGAUUUUUGAAGAGUUCCCUGGAAUAUCUUCUACAUCUCAUUUUUGAAGAGAUUCCGCGAGAUCGGGAACUAUGUGGUUAAAACCAAAAAUUUGCCGGAAGUCACUAUUCCACGCGAACGAAGUCGCGGGCAAAAGCUAGUUCUAAAUAAAUUGGUUUCGUUGUAUUUGUCAAUUAAUAAGUUUAUUUGUUGGGUUUUCCUGGUUUUCUGGUUAAAUUAUUUAACGUAGGUUUAGUUUGAUAUCGAUUAUUAGUAGAUACUGUAGUUAGUUUUUUUAAUAAAAUUGUAAGUCUAAUUUAUUAAUUAAUUAGAUAGAUUAGAUUUAAGUCGUUUCUUUUAAAUUAUUUAGUUUAAGCUUGGUUAUUAUAGCAUAGAGGAUAGGUUGUAAUAUAAUUUAUUUUUUAAUUGUUAUAAAUUCGUAAUUCGUAGCUUUCUUUAGUUUUAAGUUAGUUUAAGUCCGUUUUUAAACUAUUUUUUCAAUGCCCUAAGUGAGUAUACAUCUAUUAAAUUCAAACGCAGAGCUCAUUAUGUUGAUUUUUGAAGAAUUUUCUGGAAUAUCUUCCACAUCUCAUUUUUGAAGAGAUCCCGCGAGAUCGGGAACUAUGUGGUUAAAACCAAAAAUUUGCCGGAAGUCACUAUUCCACGCGAACGAAGUCGCGGGCAAAAGCUAGUUCUAAAUAAAUUGGUUUCGUUGUAUUUGUCAAUUAAUAAGUUUAUUUGUUGGGUUUUCCUGGUUUUCUGGUUAAAUUAUUUAACGUAGGUUUAGUUUGAUAUCGAUUAUUAGUAGAUACUGUAGUUAGUUUUUUUAAUAAAAUUGUAAGUCUAAUUUAUUAAUUAAUUAGAUAGAUUAGAUUUAAGUCGUUUCUUUUAAAUUAUUUAGUUUAAGCUUGGUUAUUAUAGCAUAGAGGAUAGGUUGUAAUAUAAUUUAUUUUUUAAUUGUUAUAAAUUCGUAAUUCGUAGCUUUCUUUAGUUUUAAGUUAGUUUUCAUCUUAAGUUCGAAAAGAUUAUAAUAUUUCUUUAGUUUAGGUCCGUUUUUAAACUAUUUUUUCAAUGCCCUAAGCUCAUUAUGUUGAUUUUUGAAGAGUUCCCUGGAAUAUCUUCUACAUCUCAUUUUUGAAGAGAUUCCGCGAGAUCGGGAACUAUGUGGUUAAAACCAAAAAUUUGCCGGAAGUCACUAUUCCACGCGAACGAAGUCGCGGGCAAAAGCUAGUUCUA